rnacentral:misc_RNA from 1 species
UCAUCAAGUUUUGCGCCUAACACCAUAUCAUUGCCAGUACAACGCAAUUGAACUAAUUUGGGCUCAAAUAAAAGGUUUCGCUGCAAGAAAUAAUACAACGCCGCCUUUUACCGCAAACAAGAUGAUGUCAUUACUCCAGCAAGCUUGUGAAAACGUAACGGCUGAAAACUGGAGUAAUGUCAUAGAAAAAGUUAAAAGCGUCAUACGCCAGGACUGGGAACGCGACGUCCACGUCGACACAAUAUUGGACCAAAGUUUUAUUUUAAAUGUAGAAUCGGAAUCGGAUGAGUCUUCCUGUUCGUCGAUUGAAACAGAUUGCGAAUAAAUUGAAUAAUUUAAUAUUGAGUUUCAUUUUUACACCCUUAAAACAUUAAUAAUUUAUUGACGAAAUUAAUUUUUAAUAAGCAGUUAAAAGUAUUUUUUAUAAUCGAUUAAAGGUUAACCGCAAUUGUACUCGAUAAUCGAAUCACAUAAAUUAAUUCUGUAUGGUCACCUCACUAUAGAGUUAAUUUGACAUGUGUCACCGUACCCAUCUUAGGUGAAAUGAAAUAUAGUACACCUUAUUAGUACUAUUAGUACUUAGUAGUAGCUAGAUUUUUUUAAAUUAUUUUUUUCAUCAUUUUGAUAAUAUACGAGCACUAAAGAUACGAUUGUAAAAUAACAAACCUCAUUAUACACCUUAUUUGAUUUCCCUUCAUACUUCAACAGGCUUAGGACUGU